AACGUGCUCCUGUCCAGCGAUGGGAGCCAUGCAGCCCUCUGUGACUUUGGCCAUGCUGUGUGUCUUCAACCUGAUGGCCUGGGAAAGUCCUUGCUCACAGGGGAUUACAUCCCUGGCACAGAGACCCACAUGGCUCCGGAGGUGGUGCUGGGCAGGCGCUGCGACGCCAAGGUGGACGUCUGGAGCAGCUGCUGUAUGAUGCUGCACAUGCUCAACGGCUGCCACCCCUGGACUCAGUUCUUCCGAGGGCCGCUCUGCCUCAAGGUCGGUGACGGCACCCAGCAUGGCCAACAGGGGGAGCUGCAGGGCCCUGGGGCCCAGGCCGCAGGCUGGAGGGGCUGCUCUGCGGUGGCAGAUGGAGCAAGGGGAGGCCUGGUCAUCCAUGUGGGAUCCUAAUUCAAAUACUUGCCACCCAAAUCUGGGGGUACAAGGGGAGAUCCAGCUGCGGAGGCUCACCAAGUUCAUGGCAGGUGAGAACUCUCUUCUGUCCAUACCCUGGGCCCCAUCCACCUGCCUCCUAACGGGCCGGGCCUGGAGGCUGUGGGCGUCUUGCUGCCUGGCUCUGGCCUG
rnacentral:sRNA from 1 species